rnacentral:rRNA from 1 species
GUAGUCCACGCCGUAAACGAUGUCAACUAGCCGUUGGACUCUUUAAGGGUUUAGUGGUGCAGCUAACGCGAUAAGUUGACCGCCUGGGGAGUACGGUCGCAAGAUUAAAACUCAAAUGAAUUGACGGGGGCCCGCACAAGCGGUGGAGUAUGUGGUUUAAUUCGAUGCAACGCGAAGAACCUUACCUGGCCUUGACAUGUCGAGAAGUCUGCAGAGAUGCGGAUGUGCCUUCGGGAACUCGAACACAGGUGCUGCACGGCUGUCGUCAGCUCGUGUCGUGAGAUGUUGGGUUAAGUCCCGUAACGAGCGCAACCCUUGCCCCUAGUUACCAGCACGUUAUGGUGGGCACUCUAGGGGGACUGCCGGUGACAAACCGGA